rnacentral:rRNA from 1 species
UACAGGGGGGGCAAGCGUUGUUCGGAAUUACUGGGCGUAAAGGGCUCGUAGGCGGCCAACUAAGUCAUACGUGAAAUCCCUCAGCUUAACUGGGGAACUGCGUGUGAUACUGGAUGGCUUGGAUUUGGGAGAGGGAUGCGGAAUUCCAGGUGUAGAGGUGAAAUUCGUAGAUAUUCGCAAGAACACCAAUGGCGAAAGCAGCUCUCUGGGACGGUACUGACGCUGAGAGCGAAA